rnacentral:tRNA from 2 species
GGCGAUAUGGCCAAGUUGGCUAAGGCAAGGGAUUGCAAAUCCCUCAUUCAUCGGUUCGAGUCCGAUUAUCGCCU